ensembl:lncRNA
CAAUAAACACAGAGACCGGGACACAGAGGACACAUUUUCUGUUAGCAGAAGACAAGUUUAAUAAAACAGACUUCUUACACGUCAGGUUGACAAAGUCAUACUCAUUCCUGCCUGAACUCCAAACACUCCCUCUCAUAUCUCUCUCAUUAGUGUAAGAACACCAGUACUAAUCUGCAAGAUCAGGCUGCCCCCAUGCCCUGCAUGGUGUUGGCUGAGGGAUUUUCACUAUGGACAGAACUCGGGGUUGCUUCUGUAGGAAGCUUUCCUGAAGGGGAAGAUGAGGACAUGUGAUGCAGCCACCCAUGUGCCUUUGUGCACGUGCACUUCCAGACUGUCCCACACUAUUUCUCAUCUCGUGUGUAUCCUGACUCUCCCCUACAUCUAUCUUCCUGCCAGCAUCACAUAUCCAGGAUGAGACCAAGGUAGUUUAUACUACAGGCUUCAACCUGUUGAGUUAUGAUAACAAGAAAACUUUCAAGAAAUCCUUAAUCACUUCUAUGCUACCUUGUUUGCCCUCUUUCUCCUCUCUUAGCUUUACAACCAUGCAAAUGUUCGUGACAGACUAGAGAGCGGGCAGCCAACACAUAGGAGUGCAUAGGCAGUCUUAUUUGGGGUGGGAGGAAAGGGAAAACCCCACCAGUGAGAAGUCCCCUCUAUCCUGCAUCCCAGAGCAGGAAGCUGCAUCCAGAGAUCAGAACCAGGCAGCUUUAGUGUCAUUUCCAAGGAAUGUGGCCACAGCAUCCUUUACAGAAAGCAUGCAAUGAGGUGUUCCAGCAGAGCAGGGACCACAGCCAUCUCGUGUGGGAGAUGUGCCCGGCAUACAGAGACUGCUCACUCCAUUGCCUUCCAUACCUCUUCCCCAUUCACACAGCACACCGGAGCCUAAGGACUGGAACCACAGAGAUGUUUCGGGGGCCUAACUUCUAUUCCAGACUCCCAGGGGAGGCUGGUUACCCAAAUAGGAGUGGAGUGCCUGAUUACCUUAGCAGGUCUGGGCUCCUCUGGCUGUGCCCAUGCCGGGACCCUUACUGCUCACUGCUCCUCUGGCUGGCGUCGAAGUGUG